AUGAACGCUAGCGGCAGGCUUAACACAUGCAAGUCGAGGGGCAGCAUAAUGGUAGUAAUACUAUUGAUGGCGACCGGCGGACGGGUGCGUAACGCGUAUGCAACCUACCCUUUACAGGGGGAUAACACUGAGAAAUCGGUACUAAUACCCCAUAAUAUUCUGGGAGGCAUCUUUCGGAGUUGAAAGCUUUGGUGGUAAAGGAUGGGCAUGCGUUGUAUUAGCUAGUUGGUAAGGUAACGGCUUACCAAGGCGACGAUACAUAGGGGGACUGAGAGGUUAACCCCCCACAUUGGUACUGAGACACGGACCAAACUCCUACGGGAGGCAGCAGUGAGGAAUAUUGGUCAAUGGACGGAAGUCUGAACCAGCCAUGCCGCGUGCAGGAAGACGGCUCUAUGAGUUGUAAACUGCUUUUGUACGAGGGUAAACGCAGAUACGUGUAUCUGCCUGAAAGUAUCGUACGAAUAAGGAUCGGCUAACUCCGUGCCAGCAGCCGCGGUAAUACGGAGGAUCCAAGCGUUAUCCGGAUUUAUUGGGUUUAAAGGGUGCGUAGGCGGUUUAGUAAGUCAGCGGUGAAAUUUUGGUGCUUAACACCAAACGUGCCGUUGAUACUGCUGGGCUAGAGAGUAGUUGCGGUAGGCGGAAUGUAUGGUGUAGCGGUGAAAUGCUUAGAGAUCAUACAGAACACCGAUUGCGAAGGCAGCUUACCAAACUAUAUCUGACGUUGAGGCACGAAAGCGUGGGGAGCAAACAGGAUUAGAUACCCUGGUAGUCCACGCAGUAAACGAUGAUAGCUCGUUGUCGGCGAUACACAGUCGGUGACUAAGAGAAAUCGAUAAGCUAUCCACCUGGGGAGUACGUUCGCAAGAAUGAAACUCAAAGGAAUUGACGGGGGCCCGCACAAGCGGAGGAACAUGUGGUUUAAUUCGAUGAUACGCGAGGAACCUUACCCGGGCUUGAAAGUUACUGACGAUUCUGGAAACAGGAUUUCCCUUCGGGGCAGGAAACUAGGUGCUGCAUGGUUGUCGUCAGCUCGUGCCGUGAGGUGUCGGGUUAAGUCCCAUAACGAGCGCAACCCCUACCGUUAGUUGCCAUCAGGUGAAGCUGGGCACUCUGGCGGGACUGCCGGUGUAAGCCGAGAGGAAGGUGGGGAUGACGUCAAAUCAGCACGGCCCUUACGUCCGGGGCGACACACGUGUUACAAUGGUAGGUACAGAGGGCAGCCACCCAGUGAUGGGGAGCGAAUCUCGAAAGCCUAUCUCAGUUCGGAUUGGAGGCUGAAACUCGCCUCCAUGAAGUUGGAUUCGCUAGUAAUCGCGCAUCAGCCAUGGCGCGGUGAAUACGUUCCCGGGCCUUGUACACACCGCCCGUCAAGCCAUGGGAGUUGGGGGUGCCUGAAGUUCGUGACCGAAAGGAGCGACCUAGGGCAAAACCGAUGACUGGGGCU
rnacentral:rRNA from 1 species